UCUUUUGUCAAACUUCCUUUAAGAGCGGUCGGUCGAGAUUCCGCUCGGCAGAUUCGUGCUGGACCAAUGGCUGAGUCAGGAGGACUGAGGUGUGAUCCGGGAAGGGCAGGAAGUGAGGUAGAUGGAGGAAGUGAGAUUGAGGUGGACGAGUUGGAUCCGGACAGCAAGGGAAUUCUAAACAAUGAAGAAUGGAAGACAGUGCGUAAGAACAGUAAGAAAAGGAAACAAAGAGAAUCUGAUGGAGAGAGAGGAGAGGAAGAACAAAGGCUAGAGAGAAAAAUUAUUCUGCGGUUUCAAUCCCCGUGCACACUAAAUCCGUUGAAGAAUGAAAAACAGCAUGACCGAUCCUUGACAUCAUACAGAUGCAGCAGCACUAAUGAAAAUGAGGGAAGUGAAUCUGGUCAAAAGCUUUCAGUCACAGUUUACAACAACAGUCGAGCUUCUUUUUGGACCCAAGAAUAACGAGAGAAACCUCUUCAAGCAACAACACAAAAGGAGCUUCAAAGGCCUUCAAUGGAACAAUUUUAUUGCAAAGACAAUUCAGUCUCUUCUUACAGACUGCAUACAUACAGCUGUUUUGCCAUCAAGCGACACACUGUAAAAGCAGUUGUCUCAAAACAAAAAGCACAUCAGUUUUUCAGUGUUUGGCAUACUGUGUGUUUGAGCACUGCUCAAUAUGUGCAGAAGUUCCAGUAGAAGAUAAAAACUUUCUGAAGGAUAAAGUAUACUUUCAAGGGGAUAAAGUAUAUCACAGCAUUGAAGAGCCAAAGAGGAGAAGUCCAAUUAAAGCAGAAGAUUGGAAGAAAAAAGGAAAACUGCUUAUUUCUAAACUACCUAGAGCCCUCUAUCUGGAUUCUGUUGAGCAGCUUAAUGAAUCUGUGGUGGAAUCUGGAUUUCCAGAGUCAUUUCUUGCCAACGCUAUAGGAACCAGAGGAGACAUCGCAUUUUUACAUGCAGGGGAAAUGCUGUGGUCAAGGAAGCCCAUACAGAUAUUUCACAAAAGAACAAAGAAUGGCAUUCAAAAGGCCAAAUUACAAAAGCUCUAUUUUAUAUGUAUGAGCUGGUGUUAUUAUGAGUGCUAAUUACUUUAAAAGGGCCUCGCCACUACCAGUUGCAACCUAUGUAACUUAACUUAUGUAGCACAUAACAUCUUCAGUCACCUAUUUUGAUUUAAUUACAAACUGAGCACAUGAGAAUGCAUAGUUCAAAAUACACAAGUAGGCCAGUGGAUAUCAUAUGUGAUGGAUCAGUUGUAAGCAUGCAAUCAAUUGCCCUAAUAUUUAGCAAGAUGAGUUUGGAAAAUCUCAUCCAUGAGUACACUUUGUCAUUGAACAGGCCACUUAUGCCCACUUCAACGUUCCCAUUCUUCAUUGUGCCUUUCUUCAUUAGCAAGACUUCAUGCAAAAAAAGUAAGUAUGUUUUUUUUUAUUCACAAAAUAAUUGUGUUUUUGUGAGAAACAAAAGCACAACAACCCUCUAAACUGUUCAUUUGACUCUUUUUCCCUAUAGUGCUUCCAAACACUACAGUCUAGCCAUGCAUGCAUUUGGUCUAAUGACAUGCACCACUACACUCAGAUUCAGUACUGUUCUCCAAUAUUCAUAGUGGUAGAAAUGUGGAAAAGCAUUUUAACAACCUCUAAAAAAUUCUAAGCCAAAAGAUAGCCCCCAAAUGUGGAUGAGAAACACAUUAUUUUGAACCUAAAAAAAAGUUUCCGUUGGUUAUGUUUAGGUAAGUUAAAGGUUUUUUUUUAUUUUAUUAUUUACUUUCAGAAUGAAUUGAGUCCAAACCCAUUUAAGGAACAUUUUAAAAAUAAUCAUAAAAAAAUUCCCUCACUUCCAAAAUAUUUCCUCCCACAUGCCGUACUGUGGUCAGGCCUAAUUCUGUGCAAGUUUAUAUCUCUAUACAAUAGAGUAAGAAACUGUGAUGGUGCACACAAGGAUACUGCACAGGGAAUUCCAGGUGAGUGAUUUAUUAAUUUUUUUUCUUUUAAGCAAAUGUCUUUAUUAUUAUUUUCAUAAUAUACACUACUUGUUUCUUCACUAAGUAACCAGAUAAUGUAAACAUAUUACCACGAUUACAGAAGCACAAUAAUUUGUUAAAAAAAGGCAACGUGCAAAAAGUGUAUAAAUAAAUAAAUAGGCAAAUGUAAAUCA
rnacentral:lncRNA from 1 species